AGAUGUGAGGGUGAUCCGGAUGUGGCAUCUGUCAUCCCUUUGAUUGCCACAGUUGAGUCGACUGAUCCGGUUGGCUAGGUGGGGUGUCCCUUUCCUCCCUCAUCGUUCCAUGUGCAUCCCUCCUGAAGUUGUUCAGUGGAAGGGGAUGACCAUCCCAGACAGAAGGAGUGUACUAAUCAUUAGUCAAGGAUAUACGGUAUUUGGUGAAACCAGUGGCAAGCCUUGACCAUUUCUCUUGGGCUUAUUUAGUUGUUCCUGUCUAUUGGA
rnacentral:sRNA from 1 species